UUGCAAUCCCCAAGACCAUGGAUGCUGAUUUUUGCCAGAUCCUCAGGCACAUCUUACCAGCUUUGGAUUUCUCCUGGUGGAGCACUAUUUGGGUAACACACUCUUAGACUUUCCUGGAAGAAAAUGGAACAAAAUUCACACCCAGAAAAAUUUUUAGGAUCCUGGAAUUAGAUAAAAUUAGGCAGGUCUUAGAGGGCAUACUUUUCAUAACAGUUUAUGUAGCUUUGUUUGCUAGCUAACACAAAAAUAACAACAACUGUAAGACAGACAAGAAACUCAAAAAGCUCUAAUGCGUUAUUGAAGCACCGUGACUGUGAGAAUUCCUCUGCUUGGAAUGGCUUGCUUGCAGCUGUUGAAUGGUGGUGUUAAGUUGCCUGUGAUUUGCAGUAAUGUGCCACCACGUUUCAGUCCAUGGGUGCUCAGUAGUGCGAAUGAGGUGUUGGAUGCACCCAGAGGUGGUGUCGCCUGUUCAGAAUGUGAGAGGGAAGUGGGAGGGGGCAGGGCAGAGGAGGAAGCAUGGGCUGUUCCGCACAGGUAGAGGAAAGGUGUGUUUUAUGCCAGGGAGAAAGGGACAUGGGGAAAUGUGGUAUCUGUUAGCAUGAGUGGAAAAGAGCCAAGUGCAGUAAAGAAGUAUUUUUCUGAUUAAGAAAUGAUCAUCUGCAGUGAACGUUUAUGGCUAAUAAUGAUUUAGAGAAGGAAGAGCUUCAGGUCACACAGGACAUUGGAAACAGACCUUCUGAUAUUUCUUUCUAGGGCACCACAGCCUGAUUCACUCUCUAGAGCUGCUCUGAUCAAUAUGGCAGCCCCUGGCCAUAUUGAUCCUACAAACUCUGCUUUGACUAAGUUCUAGAAGAAGGGGAGUAGAGGGGGAGAGAAGAGGUUUGCUUCUGAGGGAGGGAAGCAAAUGCAGCCUGUGAAACAAUGUUCUCUCCACUCUCCCUUGAACUACUCAGCAUGUUUCCUGUUUAACCUUGGGAAUUAUUUACAAAACUGAAAAGUUUCACUUGGCUAACUGAAAGUAGUUGUUGUUUUUUUAAAAAAAG
rnacentral:lncRNA from 1 species